GUGAUCCGCCUGCCUUGAUCCCCCAAAGUGCUGGGAUUAGCAGGCGUAAGCCACUGCGCCCAGCCACCUCUAGAAAUUUUGGUCCUAUUUAUGCUCCUGUCUUAACUUUCUUGACUUCAUGACUUCAUAUUUUUCUAAUUUUCCUAUUUUAAUUUCUGGUUCUUUUGCUGAUUUCCUUUUCCUGACCCUUCUUUUCCCACUUAUGGCUAUCCAUGUCUAAACUUAUUAUUUUGUACUCUUUUCCAGUAUUGAUGCUGUUUAAUAGGAAUACAUCUCAAUCUAUAGUUCUAUGUGUAUAUAUAUAUCAAAAUACCUAUUGGAUAUUUACACAUAAAUGUUAUUAUUUCAGACUGCAAUGAACAGCCAACAUCUUAAUAAUCUUUUCCUUAAAAGUAACUGUAUACUUACUACAUAACCCAACAACUCUUCUCCUUGGUAUUUCCUCAACAGAAAUAAAAAUGUGUCCACAGCAAGACUAUACAAAUGUAUAGCAGCUUUGUUCUUGAUAGCUCCAAACCAAAAACAACUCAAAUGUAUACCAGUAAGUAAAUGAAUAAACAAAUUAUGCUAUAACCAUACAAUAAAAUACUACUCAGCAAUACAAUAUAAUGGACUACUAUACACAAACAAUAUCUCCAAAUAUUAAGCUGAGAAAAAGAAUCCAGAUGGAAAGAGUACACACUCCUUAUUUCAUUUAUAUGAAACUCUAGAACAAGAAGAAACUUGUGGUGAUAGAAGAUCACUAUUUUUUUCUGGGGCCAGGAGUGAGUAGAUGUGGGAUGACUAUGAAGCCUCUCUCUCAGCUUCUGGUGAUUUUCUGCCAGUCUUUGGUUUUCCUUGGCUGUGGCUGUAUCAUCCUUACCUUUGCUUUCAUAUUCACAUGGUAUUCUUCCUAUGUGCAUCUCUGUGUCCAAAUUUCCAAAAUUUCCCUUUUUAUGGGGAUACCAGUUAUAUUGGAUUAGGAGUCCACCUACUCCAGCAUGACUUGAUCUUAAAAUUAGAUCUCUUUCCAAAUAAGGUCACAUUCUGGUACUGGGGGUUAGAACUUCAAUAUUUGACUUCUGGGGGGACACACAUUAACCCAUAAUAUGUAAUUGGAACUCGUGACCAAGAAUUAGCAACUAAUCUAGACACAUUAGUAAGACACUUGCUUGUACAUGAGUAAGAAAUAAAAGUCCACAAAAAUUAGCAGUUAUCCUAGUGAAAUUUCUAGGAAUCUAGUUGUCUGGGACAUGUCAAGAUACCCCAUUCAAGGCAAAGAAGUUGCUAUAUCUACCCUCUCUUAACGCUAAGGAAAAUUCACAACACCUAACAGGCCUCUUUGGAUUUUGGAGGCAAUAUAUAUCUCUUUUGAGUAUGUUAUUCCAACCUAGUUAUUGUAAGAUCUCAAAAACUAUCAAUUUUGAUUGGAGCCCAGAAGAAGAGAAGGCUCUGCAGCAGUACAGGCUGCUGUACAAGCUACUGUGCCAGUUGGGCCAUAUGAUCCAGCAGAUCUGAAGUUGCUUAAAGUGUUAGUAGUAGAUAGGGAUACUAUAUGGAGCCUUUGGCAGAGGGUAAACACAGUGCUCAGCUUCACAGUUCAUCUCCUUCUUUCCAAUCCUUAUCUCUGUCUUUUUCUUGCCUUUAUCUAUUUAAUAAGUCCUCCAGUUCAAUAUGGAAUAAAAAUGGCAAGACAAACAUCCUUACCUUUCUCCUCAUCUUAAAGUAAAAGUCUUUAUCACUUAAUCAUCAAAUUUGAUGUUAGCAGUAGGUUUUACACACUCCCUGUAUAGCAAAUUGAGGAAUUUAACUUCUAUUCCUAAUUGCUGAGAGAUUUUGUUUUUAUCACAAACGGAUGCUGAAUCUUAUCAAAUGACUUUUCUGCAAUCAAAAAAUAUUAUGAUUACAUAAUAUUUCUACUUUUCUUUUGUUGCAGCCAAUUACAUUGAUUGAUCUCCAAAUGUAACCCUGAAUUUCUGAGAUAAAGUCCACCUCAUUAUUUUGUAUUGCCAUUGUUAUGUACUGCAUGAUUUAAUUUGCUAAUAAUUUAUGAAGGACUUUUUCAAAGUUUAUGAAAUAUAUUGGUCCAUAAUUUUCUUAUUAAAUUUUUUUCAGGUUUUAGUACUGAGAUUAUGCUGCCCUCAUAAAAAGAAUUGAAAAGCAGUGUUUCUUCCUUCUAUAUUUUCAAAAAGAGUUUUUGUAGCAGGUACCCUUGCUUCUAAUACCACAAAAAGCAGGAUAUAGAUGAAUUGUUACCUGCCUAGAUGCUGAGACCAGACUACCUCCGUUGUUGCAACAUGAAGUGAUUGCACUAUAAGGUUGUACAUGUCAUGCAACAUCUUUGUUGGAUGCCUACCCAUCUUGCCUCUAAAAACACCAUGGCUAUUAGAUAUCACCACAGAUAUCUGUGAGAAAGAGUUCCUCGGUUAUUAUUCUGUCUUUGUUAUCUAUAUAUUGGAUCUUCCUUAAGUGAGACUUCUGCAUGAUCUCCAAGCAAGGAGAGGCUAUCUAGCAUGGGGGAGUGGAGGUCUUACAUAGCACAGAGGGGUCAAGAUUUUCAAGCACAGAAGACCAGAUGUUUCUGUUUCAGGUCUCUGGGUCCCAUUUCUUCUUUAUGACGACUCUGUAUUUGGCAUAGGAGAAUUGCUGGGGCUGUGAAUUUAGCAUUAUUUGAAAUUUAAAUAAUUCCACAAUUAGACCUUGCAUCUGAUUUUCAGCAGCCUUCCCUCUGGCUAUGGCAAAGAGGGUAGGGUCUCUUUCAUGCUACAGCUACUACGUAAGUAUGGGAACCCAAUCUUCCACAAAUGAGAGUCUAUAGAUUUGAUACUAUACUACUAGGAAUGGGAUUCUUGUUGCUCUAUGCCCAGGGAGUUAUUCAAUUUCUGAAUCCCAUCCUGAAGAUUUGCUCCAUAGAGCAAUGUAUGAUAUCAAUUAUUUUAGUUUGAAUUAUCCCAGAAGCAGAUUUUGAAAUCAGGAUUUAAAUGCAUAUGGUUUAUUUGUGGGAUGAAGGCAACCCUAGUAGGAAGGCGAGGAAGAUAACCAACUACCACUGUGGACAACUGGAGCUUAACCCCACUAGAUAAACUCAGAGAGCCAGUGUGAAGCACUCCUCAGUUGUCCCAGCAGAGGAGACGAUGGAGCCAGAGUACAUUUAUACCAAUUCCCAUCCGUCAUUGUUGAAGGGUGCUCUAUGGGUAUUUUUCAGCACUUCUGGUCCAGUUGCACAACAAAAUGUGCUUUAACAGCAAGUGAAAGCUCCUGGGCAAAGACCUUAGGCAUUGAGAGCUGUGUGCAUUGAAGUGCUAAAAGCAAGGGCUAUGGGUGGGAUGCUGACAGCCUCAGCCAAACAAAAUCGUAUUAUAAAUGUAUACGUGAGAAAUAAAACUAUAAAGAGAAUAAAGAAAUGAUUAUCACAAAAUGGACGUUUUAAAUGUUUUAAAAUAGAUAUGAAUUAUUUAACUUGCUCUAAUUAUGGUUUGGAUUUUCACAAGUAGUUUCUAUCUGGCAUCUCAAACUAUUGAAGCACUGGUUGUAUUUUAAUGAUUAAUAAGAUAUAUUGCCAAAUUCCAAUUUACUGAAGAACAACUUAGUUAAGAAAUAAAUCAAUCUGACUUAAGCCCUUGUGUUAUAAACGUAGGCUUCAUGCUUAUUUUUAUGGCCAUGCUUCUGUUUAAUUUAGCACAUUUAUUCCUGAAUUCUGAAGAUAUCAGUCUUAUAAUGCAUAUUAUUGACAGGUCUUUCCCUCCAUUGCCACUAUAAUCUUUACUAUGAAGAGAAAAAUUAAUGAGCUGUAUUUGCCAAGGUUUACCUGUGUGAAUGAACUCUCCUCUCUCUUAAUGCAAAUAUAAUAUUCUAGAUACAUGUUAUAUUCUUGAAACCAACCAAACUAUUAAUAAUGUUUGAUGAUAAUGAUGAUGAUAAUCAAUACUUGCCUAGUGUUUUUAUUUGCCAGACACUGCUCUAUGCACUUUCCCAUAUAUCAUUUAAUGUCCAUAUAAAUCUGGUAAAGUAGGUUCAUUUUUGUUCACAUAUUUUAAGUGAAGAGACUGAGAUCUGGAGAGUUAAAGUAACUCUACCAAGAUUACUUAGCCAGGGAUAAUAAACAAUAGAAAGAGGUUGAAUCAGCUUAUCCCAAGAAAGGGACGAUAUAGAUUAAUGUAACCAAAGCACAGAAAGGUCAGGGGAAGCGUUGACCUCAGGAAAAAAAAAUGAUUCACAUCCUUGAAUACUGAGAUGAUUCUGUCUCUUGUAUUUGCUUCUUUCAAUAUGUUAGCUCCAUUUUUUCAGCCAAGUUGUCCCCAUGAGGCUGGAAAGUUGGCUGCAAGUAGCACUCAGUUUUGGUUGUAGUCUGAUAUUUUAAACACUUUUCUUCUCCAGUUGAGGGAGGAAUCUUACCGUGCCAGCUUAGGUCAUGUGCCCAUUCCAUUAAUCAGGGGUCAAAAAACUAAAGCUUGCACCUAUUUUUGCAAUAAAGCUUUAUUGCAACACAACCAUGCUCAAUCCCUUACAUUUUGUAUAUGGUUGCAUUCGUACUGAAAAGGCUGAGUUGGGUAGUUGCAACAGCAGUCAUAUAGUCUGCAACACCUAAAAUACUUACUAUCUGGCUCUUUACAGAAAAAGUUUGCUGACCCCUAUCUCAGGUCAACAACUAUGGCAACUUGGUCACAGGUCUUCAUAUUGUUCCCACUUCAUUUGAGUCAAGUGCAUGGUUGUUGAUACAUGGGUUGACAUUUUGCCCUCCAAAAUGUCUUUAAAAAGAGUACAAUGUGAUUCAGCCUUCAAUCUGAAAACUUUUUGUGUUUUUAGAAGCAAUGAAUCAGCAAAGUGUAAAAUUUAUAUUAUUGGAGCAAAUAUUUAUCAUUGGUGAAAAGACUAUCGUUCCACAUUUUCUUACAAGCAGUAUCCAAGUGAUUUAUUGGACCUGAGAAAGACUGCCACAAGUAGAUGAAGCAGAAUUGUUUUGUGACUAAGAUAUUUGAAAUACAUUUCAUAAGGUUAUAAUUACCAUUGAGAGUGAUUACUCUUAUAAACCUGGGCAUAGUAAAUUGAAAAACUUCUUCAAAAUAUUCAUUGUUUUAGAUGCCAUUAGGAAUAUUUGUGAUACAUGGGAGGAGGUCAAAAUAUCAACAUUAACAGAAUUUUGGAACAACGUGGUGACAACCCUCACAGGUGAUUUAAAGAGCUCAAGACUUCAGUGGAGGAAAUUACUGAAGAUGUGGUGAAAAUAACAAGAGAACUGGAUUCAGAAGUGGAGCCUGAAAACAUGACUGAACUGUUGUAAUCUCAUGAUAAAACUUGAACAAAUGUAGAGUUG
rnacentral:lncRNA from 1 species